rnacentral:lncRNA from 1 species
CCUCGAUCGCAUAGCUCGAUCCAUCCGAUAGAUAAGCAGUGCCCUCACUAUUCUCCAGAGAGUCAAACUACUUUUUUCUGUAAUAUACAUGAUAGGUGCAUGCAGAAUCUAAAAUUCACUGCUGGAAAGAAGUAGAUAUCUCAUCAGAUAUUUUCAAAAUAUCUCUCUCUAAAUAGCUACUGGCCGUCAUUACAGCAGCCAUCGUUUGAUCUUUGAGUGGAGAGCAAUUUCUAGUUUAAUACCCCA